rnacentral:rRNA from 1 species
UGGUGGAGUGAUUUGUCUGGUUGAUUCCGAUAACGAACGAGACUCUGGCCUACUAAAUAGACGGUGGAUCUUUGCGUCCACUCUGUCUUCUUAGAGGGACAAGGCAGCUCUAAGCUGCGUGAAAUGGGGCAAUAACA